rnacentral:rRNA from 1 species
GUGGGGAAUAUUGGACAAUGGGGGAAACCCUGAUCCAGCGACGCCGCGUGAGUGAAGAAGUAUUUCGGUAUGUAAAGCUCUAUCAGCAGGGAAGAAAAUGACGGUACCUGACUAAGAAGCCCCGGCUAACUACGUGCCAGCAGCCGCGGUAAUACGUAGGGGGCAAGCGUUAUCCGGAUUUACUGGGUGUAAAGGGAGCGUAGACGGCAUAGCAAGUCUGAUGUGAAAGAUCGGAGCUCAACUCCGGGCCUGCAUUGGAAACUGUUAAGCUGGAGUACAGGAGAGGUAAGCGGAAUUCCUAGUGUAGCGGUGAAAUGCGUAGAUAUUAGGAGGAACACCAGUGGCGAAGGCGGCUUACUGGACUGUAACUGACGUUGAGGCUCGAAAGCGUGGGGAGCAAACAGGA